rnacentral:rRNA from 1 species
AUUGAACGCUGGCGGCAGGCCUAACACAUGCAAGUCGAACGAGUGGCGGACGGGUGAGUAAUGUCUGGGAAAGUGGGUGAUGGAGGGGGAUAACUACUGGAAACGGUAGCUAAUACUGCUUACCAUCAGAUCUGCCCAGAUGGCAUUAGCUAGUUGGUGGGGUAACGGCUCACCAAGGCGACGAUGCCUAGCUGGCCUGAGAGGGUGACCGGCCACACUGGCACUGAGACACGGCCCAGACUCCUACGGGAGGCAGCAGUGGGGAAUCUUCCGCAAUGGGCGCAAGCCUGAUGGAGCCAUGCCGCGUGUAUGAAGAAGGCCUUCGGAUUGUAAAGUACUUUCGGCAGAGAGGCGGUACCCGCAGAGGAAGCACCGGCUAACUCCGUGCCAGCAGCCGCGGUAAUAC